UGCUGUCGGUUAACUCGCCCUUGCUACAGUCUUGAAAACUGUCGACGCCUCCGGCGUCCGCGAGUUCGAAUCUCGCACCCUCCGCCA
rnacentral:tRNA from 1 species